GCACGUCCCGGAGCCCGUGCCGACCGCAGGCGCCGUAUCCGCGCUCGUCUAGCAGCCCCGGUUACGCGGUUGCACGUCGGCCCCAGCCCUGAGGAGCCGGACCGAUGUGGAAACUGCUGCCCGCCGCGGGCCCGGCAGGAGGAGAACCAUACAGACUUUUGACUGGCGUUGAGUACGUUGUUGGAAGGAAAAACUGUGCCAUUCUAAUUGAAAAGGAUCAGUCGAUCAGCCGAAAUCAUGCUGUGUUAACUGCUAACUUUUCUGUAACCAACCUGGUAUGUUACUAAUUUUAUUUCACUAGUUUCCAGUAAGGGGGUUGAAAUCACAAAAUAUUCUCUUGGUGUGUAUGUGAGAGAGAGUUCACAGGAUUUGUCAUUUUAUAGAGCUGUGUAGACUUUUUUAAUGUUAACAAAAUUACUUAUAUUGUGGCAGUGGUACCAGUGGUAUUUGUUCAUUUUGAGAUUUGAAGUUUCUAUUUCAGUAAUUUACUCUUUGUUUCAGUUAGAAACUCAGAGGAAGUAGGACAUAUUUAUUUUUAUUUGCUUACUAAACAUUUAUUGUUUACUGUUAGUUUGGUGCAAAAGUAAUU
rnacentral:sRNA from 1 species